rnacentral:snRNA from 1 species
AACAUGGAUCCAUCCAUUGGGAU